GUUCUUUCUCUCACCUUCUGGCUGAAUUUCCAUCUUGAGCGUGGAGGCUCGUCAAGCCUACUAAUUAUGCCUGGGCUUCUAAGAUCUGACCGGGGAGGCCUUAGUGUCUCCUCUCCUUCAGGAGAACAGGAGGACGCCUGCGGCCUACGUAGGUGAUGUAAAUUCCUUGCCUUGGAAUUUUACUAGCUUUCCACGUAAACCAAGUUAUUCAGCCUCUUUUCUCCACUGAAUUUUCCUACUGAGCUAUCCUCAUUCUAUUACUCUUUAUAUCUCUAAUUAAUAUUUAAUUAAAGGUAUCGUAUCCUGAUCGCCGAAGCCGUCUCUCCUUCGAAUUUCCCUGGAUCCACUGAGGCUGGACCCUGGCACAUAUGAUUAUUUAUAUCCAUUUAGACCCCUUCAUUCUCUAUGUCUUGAAGGAAGCUGACUUCACUUCCCUCUUCAAGGAUUGUCUUAAUUCAAAUAGGAAAUGGUGCCAGGUCAACUCAAGACACCCCUAUUCCACCCACACUUUAGAGUGCUGGAGAAGCUGGUGUGUGCAUCUAUAGAUAAUCAGAAAGCUACUUUGUGAACCUGGAAUGAAAAAAAGCAGGACUGGAUGUAUUAUUUUAUGGUACUUAUCAAGAAUGGCUGGCUAAAUAAUGGUACAGCUUCACAAUGGAAAAUGUAUCUAAAUAUAUAGUGCUAACAUGAAGCACCAUGAGAGUAUGACUAGUAUACUCUCAUUUUCAUGAAAAAAAUUGAGCCAUAUUUAUAACUGAAAUAUGCUAAAAGAGUAGAGCUUAAAUGUUCUUUACCCCCCCCCCCGCAAUUUUUUUUUUUAUAAUGCAAUAAUCAUUAUCCCAGCCCAGGGUAUUGUGCCUGUUUAUUCAGUUCAACCCCUCUGAGCAUAAAUUUGGGACAGUUAGGUUUCCAAGCACAACCCCCCACCUUCACCUUUGGAAUUUAUAGAAGUCUCAGGAGAAUCCAUUUGGACAGAAGUUAGGCAUCUUCUCCAUUGAGCAGUCAAGAGUUAAGAGAUCAUUGAAGUACAAAGAAUCUGUAUCAUGCAAUAUUUACAUUGCAGGUAGGGUCUUCCUUUCAGCAAAAUAGCAUCAAAUGUCACAUCAGAUAUUGUUCAGGUGAAGCUUAUCUGACUUUAUAUUGAGUUUGUAAGUGUGUUUUGGUUUUAUAGCUAUAUAAGCAUAAAGCAUUUAUACCAAGGUUGAUAUAUUUUUAUCAAAAAUUAUAAGGACUAGAUGGUCCAUGAGAAGUUUAUUUUCCUUUAGACGGGUG
rnacentral:lncRNA from 1 species